rfam:Zootermopsis nevadensis contig10681, whole genome shotgun sequence.
GCCACGGUGGUUCUAGCGGUUAGAACGCUGGCCUUGUAAUCCUGGGGGUCUCGGGUUCGAUUCCCGGCGGUGCCC